CAAAGGGGGACUUCUAAACGAUCUUUAAGAUAAUGUAAGACGGGAUAAAUGCGCUUUCGUGUAUCCAGUAAAAUUUUCCUUGCAAUAAACUUCUGCCGCAGAGUAAGACAUCACUUGUCUAAAACAUGUGCGGAAAAAUAGGUAAAACGGUGGUGAGGGUUGAAUCUAGAAUAAAGGAAUGUAUUUAAAGAGCGCUUGCGAAUUUUCUUAGUGUUCAGUGCUUUGUUUUCUUACAGUAAGCUCAUACAUCAAUUUUGUUGGCCUAUGGUUUAAUACUAUUGGUUCAACUUGAACCCAAUAUCUGAAAAAAGCAUAAAGAAGCCUAACUCUGCAAACCGAAUCAACCAGUCAUUAUCGACAUAGAUACAUAUAGCACAAUUAAAUUCUAGUUACACUCAAAUUGAUACGUUUAGACCACCAAAAUGACAAACAUUUUCAGUCGCUUGUACUAUCUUGGAUUGGGAGUUCUAGUAUCUAUCUGCUUAAUUACAGCGUAUCCUUUAUCAGGCGAUGAAGAAAAAUUCUUGGAACGAGAAGUAAGCGUGUAAUUUUAAUUUAUUUAUAAAACUAU